UGCCUACGGGACGCAGCAGUGAGGAAUAUUGCACAAUGGGGGAAACCCUGAUGCAGCGACGCCGCGUGAGCGAUGAAGUAUUUCGGUAUGUAAAGCUCUAUCAGUAGGGAAGAAAAUGACGGUACCUGACUAAGAAGCCCCGGCUAACUACGUGCCAGCAGCCGCGGUAAUACGUAGGGGGCAAGCGUUAUCCGGAUUUACUGGGUGUAAAGGGGGCGCAGACGGCGAUGCAAGCCAGGAGUGAAAGCCCGGGGCCCAACCCCGGGACUGCUCUUGGAACUGCGUGGCUGGAGUGCAGGAGGGGG
rnacentral:rRNA from 1 species